ensembl:misc_RNA Metazoa_SRP Metazoan signal recognition particle RNA
GCUGGGCGUGGUGGCGUGCGUCUGUAAUCCCAGCUACUCAGGAGGCUGAGGCAGGAGAAUCGCUUGAACCCGGGAGGCAGAGGUUGCAGUGAGCCGAGAUCGUGUCACUGCACUCCUGCCUGGGUGACAGAGUGAGACUCAGUCUCAA